rnacentral:rRNA from 1 species
GACGAACGCUGGCGGCGUGCUUAACACAUGCAAGUCGAACGGAAAGGCCCUGCUUUUGUGGGGUGCUCGAGUGGCGAACGGGUGAGUAACACGUGAGUAACCUGCCCUUGACUUUGUGAUAACUUCAGGAAACUGGGGCUAAUACCGGAUAGGAGCUCCUGCUGCAUGGUGGGGGUUGGAAAGUUUCGGCGGUUGGGGAUGGACUCGCGGCUUAUCAGCUUGUUGGUGGGGUAGUGGCUUACCAAGGCUUUGACGGGUAGCCGGCCUGAGAGGGGGACCGGCCACAUUGGGCCUGAGAUACGGCCCAGACUCCUACGGGAGGCAGCAGUGGGGAAUAUUGCACAAUGGGCGGAAGCCUGAUGCAGCAACGCCGCGUGCGGGAUGACGGCCUUCGGGUUGUAAACCGCUUUCGCCUGUGACGAAGCGUGAGUGACGGUAAUGGGUAAAGAAGCACCGGCUAACUACGUG